AUACUUACCUGUCAGGGGAGAUACCAUGAUGGUUUUCCCAGGGCAAGUUUCAUCCAUCCAAGUUGGAAACACUGACCUCUGCGAUUUACCCAACUGUGGGAAACUUGACUGCAUAAUUGGUGAUAGUGGGGGACUGUGUUCUCACUUUCCCCUG
ensembl:snRNA U1 U1 spliceosomal RNA